ACUUUCAAAUCUGAAACUUGAUUUUAGACGUUUCCUUUUCGCUGUUGUUAUGGUGUGUUGUUAAAAUAUUGUGCUUUCAGAUUGAAACUGAGUCUUUGCCAUGUCUUUGCUUUGAUUUUGUAUUCUGAAUUCUGAUAGUGAUACCUAACUGCUUUUGUGACUUACCUUGCCCCGCGGACUACUAACUUCUUACGAUUUCGGAGUUGGCACUAUAUUAAACAAUGCCUCGUAGAUCGCGGUUGAAGUGCUAUUUCGGAUGUAUUAAUGAUAGCCCGCUGCAUCAUUUCCCUAACCCGAAAAGUGAAAAACUCGAAGACAUUGAAAAGUUUUCUGUAUGGCGAGCUGUGCUAGAUGUAGCAACACAAGAGAGAGGAAAUUCAUACAUCUAUAACCACAUAUUAUUUUGCAAUAAGCACUUUUGGGAAGGCUAUCAGCUGCCAAGCCGUCGCCUUACUAAAAAUGCUGUUCCAACAUUAAACUUAGGAAACAAAAGAUCAACCAUACUCACAGAUAAUGAAAGUAUGCCAUCUACUACAGAGCUGGAUCCUUUAGAAAUGCAACCAGCUAACCAAGAUGAGCAACCCUCAACAUCUACUAUCACAAUUCAACUAGAUAGAGUUCACAACCAGCUGAGCACCGUGGAAUCUGUGCCAGUGCAGCCUUCUAAUAUUACAAUUCAAAAAUAUCCCAUUGGGGGGCUGGUCGUCUGUCCAUCUUGUAACUCGGUUUAAUAAGUAAUGCUUAUGCUAUGGCGAAAUCAUUGGGUUUGAAGAUUUUGAAUAUGCAAGAAAACAAAAAUUACCAAUGGCCAAUGCAUUUGAAAUUGACAAUCGCAAAAUAUUUCCCCUGUUUGAUAUCCUGGAAGACGUAGACAGAGGGAAGACGGAAGAGAGGGACAGCCAUGGAUGAAUAGUAAAAAAUUGAUAUCCUGUGGAGAAAUGGAAUGGGCUAAAUGGGAACAAAUAAAAAUGUAAUUAUAUUAUGUUGAUUACAGAAAUGAUGUGAUAAGGUUAGUUAAUAAACUAAUAGAAAUUCCUGUAAAUAAGCAUAAAAUCCCAAAAAUGAAAGUAAAGUUCGCAGCAUAAGUAGUAGCCAGAGUGUGUUAAGUGCCUUGCAGUUUUUGUCAAAACUGCCAGAUUCUGCCAGACUUCUUCAUGCUCUUCGACAAGCUGUUUGACUCCUCCUAUGGUCGCUAUUACAAAGGAUCGCUAAAAAAAAUAUAAGCAAUGUUAAAAAUAUAACUCACCCCAUUUCCAGUGUUAAAUUCCAAUUUUAGAAUCAAUUCAAUUUGGAUCAAUAUUAAAAAAAGGAUUCUGUGUGGAUUUAGCAUGAGAGUAAUUGGGUACACAAUGUGAAAUUAUUUGAUUGUACGGUAUACAGGGGUGAACAUAAUCAUGUCGAACAGCAAUCAUAUGAUUAUUAUAGGAAGAAGAUAAUAAAAAUAAAUAAAU